GCAUCAGUGGUUUAGUGGUAAAAUCCAUCGUUGCCAUCCCUGGAAUCGAUUCGAUGGGCCCCGUGUUCGAUUCACGGCUGAUGCA
rnacentral:tRNA from 1 species